AGUUAUCCAGAAAUUUUCUCGACAAGUGCACGUGCAAUUAUAAAUCGUUCUCGGUUCCCCCGCUCCUUUCCACCAUCCAUUGUGACUGUGCACAAUUAACUUGCAUACAUAUACAUAUAGGCCUACUGUUUCAACACAGUUCCUGCACCGCCCUCUACCCCUCCUUUGUGCCCUUUAAAGAUAGUGAACAUUGGCUAAAAACAACUGGUAUACAUCAAUAUAAAGACAUUUCACACGUUUUGACAUUUGAAAUAAUUUUUUAUGAAGUCGCUAAAUAUAAUUGAAAGUAAAUAUUUUUUUAUGACAGUAUUUAGUAUUUAAUUGUUCAAUAUUGCGAAUGUACACUGCCAUCCGUAAAAUAAUGAAUAUUUAUUAUCAUCUGUGUUGCAUCGAAAAACAACUAUAAUUAAAGUUUUUAAUCACUAGCCAGUACAACCAGAAGCCAAUACUUACCUAACUUUAUGAAUAUUAGAUUUACUAAAUAGAGAUGUCUAAUUUGAAAUACAAAUCACUUUCGAUUUUAGCCACUUCAGUGGGAGCUGCGUUCCUGCUAAGGAACCUUAACA